GAGGAAAAGAGAAAAAGAAAACGACCCAAUCAAAUCCUAAAAAAUACAAAUCCGGACCAUAUCGAUUCUCAUAAAUUCAAAUCUCGCCAACCUGAUACAUAAACAAAAACAGAAGAAUGCUACCAUUUUCGUUUUCGAUUACAAGAGAUCAUAAACUCUAUCCAUCAUUAAAAACUCUGCAAGAGAAGUGUAAUCCAGUAGCGAAAACGUUCAAAAGCAGCAAAACCUCAG
rnacentral:lncRNA from 1 species